UGUCAAGAGUCGUUGGCGUCGUUUCGACGAGCAGUUUUCUUUUGCCUGAUUGAAAGGCGAGGAAAUG
rfam:Mesorhizobium sp. LSHC420B00 scaffold0054, whole genome shotgun sequence.